GAGAGUUAAACAGUACGUGAAAUUGUUGAAAGGGAAACGAUUGAAGUCAGUCGUGCUGGCGCGAAAUCAACCCUCUCGUUGAGAGGUCACAUGGCGUGGCGAGCCUCAAAACCGUCACGAAGCGUGAACUCUUGGCGAAAAGGAGCACUUUCGUGUCCGCUGGUUAACAUCAAUUUCGAACGUCAUAAAAAGGCUGGAGGGAUGUGGCUCCUUCGGGAGUGUUAUAACCUUUAGCGGAAUGUGGUGGUCGGGAUUGAGGAUUGCAACGAAUACCUUUAGGGCUGUUCCACCUGGCUUCUCUUUGGUAUCCUGGUGACGACAGCUUGCUGACGUUGUUAGGAUUCGCCUUUGAACAGGCUAGAGUGUGAGCAAAUUCGUUAAGGAUGUUAACGUAAUGGCUUUAAACGA
rnacentral:rRNA from 1 species